GACGUAGGGCGCGAGCGUUGUCCGGAUUUAUUGGGCGUAAAGAGCUCGUAGGCGGCUUGUCGCGUCGUCCGUGAAAACCUGGGGCUCAACUCCAGGCUUGCGGUCGAUACGGGCAGGCUAGAGUUCGGUAGGGGAGACUGGAAUUCCCAGUGCAGCGGUGAAAUGCGUAGAUAUUGGGAAGAACACCUGAGGCGAAGGCGGGUUGCUGGGCCGACACUGACGCUGAGGCGCGAAAGCCAGGGGAGCAAACGGG
rnacentral:rRNA from 1 species